CCUUUGGAGAGUUAUAAAAAAACUGUAAUAGCUUUUUAGUGAAACAGAACUCGUUGAACAAGGAA
rnacentral:sRNA from 12 species